rnacentral:rRNA from 1 species
UACGAAGGGUGCAAACGUUGCUCGGAAUUAUUGGGCGUAAAGCGCACGUAGGCGGCUUAGCAAGUCGGAAGUGAAAUCCCUCGGCUCAACCGAAGGAAGUGCUUUCGAAACUGCUGAGCUUGAGUACUUAAGAGGAUCGCGGAAUUCCCGGUGUAGAGGUGAAAUUCGUAGAUAUCGGGAGGAACACCAGUGGCGAAGGCGACUUCCUGGCCUGUUCUUGACGCUGAGGCGCGAAAGCUAGGGUAGCAAACGGG